rnacentral:rRNA from 1 species
GACGAACGCUGGCGGCGUGCUUAACACAUGCAAGUCGAGCGGUAAGGCCCUUUCGGGGGUACACGAGCGGCGAACGGGUGAGUAACACGUGGGUGACCUGCCCCCAGCUCUGGGAUAAGCCUGGGAAACCGGGUCUAAUACUGGAUAUGACUCCAUGACGCAUGUUGUGGGGUGGAAAGCCUUGUGCGGCUGAGGAUGGGCCCGCGGCCUAUCAGCUUGUUGGUGGGGUGANGGCCUACCAAGGCGACGACGGGUAGCCGGCCUGAGAGGGCGACCGGCCACACUGGGACUGAGACACGGCCCAGACUCCUACGGGAGGCAGCAGUGGGGAAUCUUGCGCAAUGGGCGAAAGCCUGACGCAGCGACGCCGCGUGAGGGAUGACGGCCU